GCACGGGUGAGUAACACGUGACUAACCUACCCUGGAGUGGGGGAUAACUGAGGGAAACUUAGCUAAUACCGCAUAAUACCCACGGGUCAAAGGAGCAAUUCGCUUCAGGAGGGGGUCGCGGCCGAUUAGUUAGUUGGCGGGGUAAUGGCCCACCAAGACAGUGAUCGGUAUCCGGCCUGAGAGGGCGCACGGACACACUGGAACUGAAACACGAGUCCAGACUCCUACGGGAGGCAGCAGUGGGGAAUUUUGCGCAAUGGGGGAAACCCUGACGCAGCAACGCCGCGUGGAGGAUGAAGUCCUUCGGUACGUAAACUCCUUUCGAUCGGGACGAUAAUGACGGUACCGGAAGAAGAAGCCCCGGUAACUUCGUGCCAGAGCCGGGUAAUACGAGGGGGGCAAGCGUUGUUCGGAAUUAUUGGGCGUAAAGGGUGCGUAGGCGGUUUGGUAAGUCUGAUGUGAAAUCUAUGG
rnacentral:rRNA from 1 species